rnacentral:rRNA from 1 species
UACAGAGGUCUCAAGCGUUGUUCGGAUUCAUUGGGCGUAAAGGGUGCGUAGGCGGCGCGGUAAGUCGGGUGUGAAAUCUCGGAGCUUAACUCCGAAACUGCAUUCGAUACUGCCGUGCUUGAGGACUGGAGAGGAGACUGGAAUUUACGGUGUAGCGGUGAAAUGCGUAGAUAUCGUAAGGAAGACCAGUGGCGAAGGCGGCUCACUGGCCCGGUACUGACGCUGAGGUGCGAAAGCGUGGGGAGCAAACAGG